GCCGCCUUAGCUCAGUAGGUUAGAGCGCUUGAUUGUGGAUCAAGAGGUCACCCGUUCGAGCCGGGUAGGCGGUA
rnacentral:tRNA from 1 species